AUCAAAGGAGAAAUCCGCUUUGAGAUGGGCCCGCGGCGCAUUAGCUAGUUGGAGAGGUAACGGCUCACCAAGGCGACGAUGCGUAGCCGACCUGAGAGGGUGAUCGGCCACAUUGGAACUGAGACACGGUCCAGACUCCUACGGGAGGCAGCAGUGGGGAAUAUUGCACAAUGGGGGAAACCCUGAUGCAGCAACGCCGCGUGAACGAAGAAGGCCUUCGGGUCGUAAAGUUCUUUGAUUGGGGACGAUAAUGACGGUACCCAAAAAACAAGCCACGGCUAACUACGUG
rnacentral:rRNA from 1 species